rnacentral:rRNA from 1 species
GGUGGCAAGCGUUAUCCGGAUUUAUUGGGCGUAAAGGGAACGCAGGCGGUUGCUUAGGUCUGAUGUGAAAGCCUUCGGCUUAACCGAAGAAGUGCAUCGGAAACCGGGCGACUUGAGUGCAGAAGAGGACAGUGGAACUCCAUGUGUAGCGGUGGAAUGCGUAGAUAUAUGGAAGAACACCAGUGGCGAAAGCGGCUCUCUGGUCUGUAACUGACGCUGAGGUUCGAAAGCGUGGGUAGCAAAC